UACAGAGGUCCCGAGCGUUGUUCGGAUUUAUUGGGCGUAAAGGGUGCGUAGGCGGCGGAGUAAGUUGGGUGUGAAAUCCCGAGGCUCAACCUCGGAAUUGCAUUCAAUAACUGCUUCGCUCGAGUACUGGAGAGGAGGCUGGAAUUUACGGUGUAGCAGUGAAAUGCGUAGAUAUCGUAAGGAAGCCGGCGGCGAAAGCGAGCCUCUGGACAGUUACUGACGCUGAUGCACGAAGGCCAGGGGAGCAAACGGG
rnacentral:rRNA from 1 species